ACAUUCAGGAAAAAUAGUGAUCAGAUUCAGGUAUAUUGUUUGAUGAAUGUAAACGAUGAACAAGAAACAAAAUGUCUUUCACUAUUCACAAAGUUUUCUCUAGCAGUGGGGAGCAGACAAGAAGAGAAGUCUUGGAAUCUUAAUUACAUGAAGCCAAGAGUCCAAAUCUUAUUCUUAUAAUAUCCUCCAUUUUCACAGCAACCAAACAAGAUAAAACAAAAAGAAAACCAAAAACAAAAGAGAAGAUCAGCCAAGCAACAGACUUGCCUAGAGGUUAAUAAUUUCCUCAAAGUCAAGAUCACCAUCUUCUUAAUUUGCUCCAUCUAUUUAGGCCAUGGCUCAAAUGCAAAGCCAUUCUUGGACAGUAUAACAAUACCAUUGAACAUGAACAAAACUUGGCCUUGCAAAUAACUUCCUCUCAACUCUGCAAGUAAUCCCAUGGCAAUUAUCUCCUUCUCCUUGAUCCAACAUGUAAUAACUAAAAACCCAAAGAAAAGGGAAAAAAAAAUGAGAAGAAGAGAGAAGCUAGGUAGUGAAAGAUGAUUAAUUUAUAUGAAUAAUUUUAUUUCCUUGUUCUUGGUGUGCUGGACGGAUGAAACAAGAGCUAAAGAUUAAUGGGUUUUUUUUUAAUAUAUUUUUAUAAUAAUGAAAAAGUUUAGUAAACUGAAAACCAAUUAUUGGACCAAAACACCAAACUCCAUUAAAAAGAAUAGUUUAGUGCAAAUAAUGAUUCAAAACUCCAUAGUAAUCACCUCAAAGGAUAGUGAUAAUAUAGAUAAAAAAAAUUAUCCUCGUAGAAGUAGACAUUAAUUG
rnacentral:lncRNA from 1 species